rnacentral:rRNA from 1 species
GACGAACGCUGGCGGCGUGCUUAACACAUGCAAGUCGAGCGGAAAGGCCCUUUCGGGGGUACUCGAGCGGCGAACGGGUGAGUAACACGUGAGUAAUCUGCCCUUGGCUUUGGGAUAACCACCGGAAACGGUGGCUAAUACCGGAUACGACCACUCCCGGCAUCGGGUGGUGGUGGAAAGUUUUUUCGGCCAGGGAUGUGCUCGGGGCCUAUCAGCUUGUUGGUGGGGGAAUGGCCUACCAAGGCUUCGACGGGUAGCCGGCCUGGGAGGGUGACCGGGCACACUGGGACUGAGACACGGCCCAGCCUCCUACGGGAGGCAGCAGUGGGGAAUAUUGGACAAUGGGCGGAAGCCUGAUCCAGCAACGCCGCGUGAGGGAUGACGGCCUUCGGGUUGUAAACCUCUUUCAGUACCGACGAAGCGCCGAUGAUGGCGGUGACGGUAGGUACAGAAGAAGCACCGGCCAACUACGUGCCAGCAGCCGCAGUAA